rnacentral:rRNA from 1 species
CAGCAGCCGCGGGAAAACGGAGGGGGCUAGCGUUGUUCGGAAUUACUGGGCGUAAAGCGCACGUAGGCGGCUUUGUAAGUUAGAGGUGAAAGCCCGGAGCUCAACUCCGGAAUUGCCUUUAAGACUGCGGAGCUAGCAGGUGGGAGAGGUGAGUGGAAUUCUGAGUGUAGAGGUGAAAUUCGUAGAUAUUCGGAGGAACACCAGUGGCGAAGGCGGCUCACUGGUCCAUUACUGACGCUGAGGUGCGAAAGCGUGGGGAGCAAACAGGAUUAGAUACCCAUGUAGUCCCUGUCUCUUAUAA